UGAUGCUUCAUAAGUGGUUCUCUUUCCUCCUCCACCCCUUCCUUGCAGCUAUUUCCUGGUGGAGCUCAGGAAGAUGCUGGCUUCCUUCUAUGUGUGAGCACACCCGAGCUGUAGGACACCGUGGGCUCCUGCUGCAACAUCGUGGAAAGCACUGUUCAGUGCACCAUAGAGCAAGAGAUCAAAGCAAGGAGGAGGCUGGAUUCUUGUGGCAGUGAUGGUUUUUUGAGUGAUGGUCUCACUGAAACCUCUUACAGAAAAAAAAGA